UUUUCUUUUUUUUUUCUCUCCUCCUGCUCGAAGUUUUGCUCGCCCACUCCUCGGACCCUCAGCCCGCUCCUGGAUCAGCUCCUCUAAGGUUUGCACAUCGGUAACUCCUGUAAUUUAAUCUGUCUGCGCUGACUCUCUCAGCUGUCUGCACUUUUUCAGAUCCGAAAAAUGAACUUUUUCAGAUUCACAUUAGAAACCAGUUUAGUGAGCAGUUUGGAAAAAUCGGAUAUAAAAGAGGCUGCAGGGCCCCACAGGCCCGAGGGCCCCUCAGAGAACUGGUCUGAUUACUCCUUUAUUUAAAAUCUUAAAUCUCAUAUUGAGUCUUUUUCUUUUGUGUAAUUUUAGCAGCUUUAUUUUCUAAACUUUAACUCUUGUGUUCGAGUUGAGUUCAUGGAUGUAGAGUCAGUAUAAUGAGCUCACAUGGACCCCCCUCUCCUCCACAUUUCUCAGCAACAUGACCCUCUCACUGAGUCAGACAAAAAAAUGAUUCUGCCGGAUAAUCCCAGCUCCCCAGGGAUUAGGUCAGAGUAUAAUACAGCACUGUCAACCCAUGCUGAGAUUUGUUUAUGUUAUGAUUUAUUGGAUUCACUUUUUUUUUCUUUCUCUGACAAAUUUAUUGAGUUCCUGACAGAUGGUGUGAGCGAGUGUGUGUGUGACUGAGUGUGUGUGUGUGUGUGACAGAGCUGACACACACACCCUCCAGAACUGUUUACCUGCAGCUGUGAAACACUGACUGAAGCUAAACUGAGAUUAAAUUAAGAUUAAAUCAGAAAAGACAAAUGCUGAAACUCAACAUGCAACGAUUAAUAUAAUCCCUGAUGAUGUGAAGUGAAAAAAAAAAAAACUUUUACAAUAUUUUAAAUGUUUUUUUAGAGCAGCAGAUCUUAAUAGCAGGUCAAACACAGAUGGAGAGAUUAAAAGAAGGAGGGGAACCUAAAAUCAUUAAGUCAUUUACAGGUUAAUAUUGACUUGUGGUUCCAGCCUGUAAAGUAAAUAAAGCGCUUUAAUUAGUUUACUUUGAGUUAUGAGCGCAUGAGUGAAAACACAGUGUAGGUACUAAAAUAUCAAAGUCACAGAUUUAAAUGGAGAAUCUUUAACUCUCUGUCUCUGACAUUUUUAAUCUUCACUUUUAUUUUUUAAUGUUUUUGUUUCACUUUUAAUCCAAAAUUCAGGCGUUAUAAUUACCUCAACAGUAAACGGCUAUUAUUAUAAUCAUUAAAGUACAAUAUCAAGUAAACCUCCAGUCUAUUACAUGUAUUUGAGUGUUUAUAUUAUCCUGUUUAUAUUAUUAUUAUGAUCAUUAGUGCAUCAGUCGAUGAUAGAAACUGGUUUAAAGCCUCAUGUGGUGACAGAGAUCCAGGAUCCGGUCAGAUUUAUGCUCCAUGUCCACAGACUCAGUCUGAACACACAUUACCUCACUGAUCCACACUGAUAGGCCACCAUGUGGACCCCUCAAACCCACUAUUAGAAUUACAACAUCACCCCCUGCUGGACAAAAACAGGCAGUACAACUCGGCUGUGACACCAGUUAUUCUACCUGACUGAUGUGGGCCGCCUUAAAAAAGAGGAGAAAUAAAACAUGUGAGAGGAAUUAAAAAAAGGAAGGAAUACAUGAAUACAGACAGGAUAAUUACUUUUUUUAUAUAAACAAACAAACAUCAUGUUUUCACAGUUUUACACUUUAGAGGACUUUUAUUUUAUCUUAGUUUGAAAAGUUUUUAACACUAAUUAUUAUUUUGAAUUUUCUUUUUAUUAAUACAGCUGAAUAAAAAAUAACUUUCUAAGAUAUUUUGUAUCUUGAAAAUAUUUUAAAGCAGCUUUUUAACUCAUUUAAGGGUUUAUUUGUCUCUUUAAUUUGACUCUAACUCUCUUCAUAGGAUUUUAUCAGAACAAAAACAGUUUUUGUAGUUACAGUUCUGACAUUUAUGUCUGCUUAUAAUUUAAAAAAAAAUUAAAUUUUUAUGUUGUCUCUUUAGAGUCCUUACAAAAACAAAUAUGAGAAAGCAUUUCUCUUAUCUAUUAGUUUCAAUGUUCUCGUGGUUAAACAGCUAAUAUUUGCUUUUAUUGUACUUAACCAUAAAGUAAUCUAUAAACUUUACAAAUAUAAACAGUAAUAACUCCUGUGUUUAUAAUCUAUACUAUAUAAAGUGUACUUUGCAGUUAUUUUAAUGUGUUAUACUCUCCUCUUUAGUGUUUUAUAUCUUGCACUUUAAUGGUUAAAAAUUAACCCUUUCUUUGCACACACUAAUAUAAGGUCAGAUGUAUAGAAUAAGGAGACACUGAUUGGUGUUAAAGUUUAUGUGCGUGCUCUCGAUACAGAGGCUGCAGUUCAGGUUGGAUUGGUCCCGGGUUCGACUCCCAGCCGCCGCCCUCCGCCGCAUGUUUUCCUCUAAAUUCUGUUUCCUGUGUUUCCGUCUCUCUUUCAAUAAAAGCAAAAAAGCCCCUUCAGAAAAACUAAAAGUCAAAUAAAAUAGAAAAAGUCAAAAUUUAGUCGUGUUUGUUUUUUAGUAAAAACAUUUGCCUUGUUUUUUUUUUUCUGUGCAGACUGACGGAUGUUUUGUUGCUCAUUUGAAGUUUUUUUUUUAGUUUGUUUCAUCUAAAUUAAAAAAACUUGGAUAAUUAAACUCUCAUUUCUAAUUCUUUGUAACUUAUUAUUUUACUGUUAUUAUAUCUGGUUAAUCUCAUUCUCUAAUUUGAUUUGACUGAUGAGAAAAAAAAACAGCAUUUUUUUAAUCCCAACAAAUGUGUUUUUUUCCACUCUCUUUUUGUUGUCGUCCUUAAAUCUCAGUUUCUCUUUUUUGUUGCACAUUAGAAAUAAUUAAAAACAAACAAAAAAAGACUUUUAGAUGUUUUUUUUUUAACCUUGAUGAAAGCUUUUCUUCUUCCAGAGGAUUAUCUUCAAAACAUUGAAGCAAGUUUUCAAAGUUGAAUCACAGAUGGUAACAGAUGAAACAUUAUGAAACGCAGCACUAACUAAAUCUCUUGAUCCUGUGAUGUGGGGAUCUCCCCUUCCCUUCUGUUUCACUUCACACACAGGCCACAGCCAAACAUCUUCAUGUGAGCUUAAGCUGUUCAGACACAUGAGGAACAACUUAAAGCGCUCGGUCAUUUCAAACUAAAUUAAACUUUGGGCUCCAAAUGUCCUCGAGAGAAACGCACCCACAAGUAUCUGUGACCUUCUCUGACUGCUGAUGAGCGCCUGAGAAAUCUCAAAUCUCUCUCCAACAGAGCAGCAUUUCAUCUCCCACCCGGAGGUGCUGAGUGGAGCAGCGUCACAGAAACAAAACAAUGGUUUGGCCUUUGAGAAAACUCGGAAAACUUUGGCUCGUGUGUUUUACACAACAGAUACGGAGAGCGGUCGGUGCCGCCUCGGCGGGAUACGUGGAAUUUGUUGUUACGUGACUGUUUUCAUCAUUAGCAAAAACCUCAGAGCUCAGGAAAGAUUUGCAGCGCCUUUCAUCAGACGAUCAUGUUAUUCAGUGGAUUUGUCUCCGCAGAAAUAAUGUUUCCUCUGACACAGGAGAGGGGAGGCUGCAGGAGGCCAGGAGCAUGAGUUUAGGAUGUGUGCCAUUAACAACAAGCGUACCCGCUCCUCAUGUGGAAUGCAUAAAUUCUGUUUCUGCGGAAUAAAAUAGAUGUGCCUGCAGACUGUGAGGCUAAAGCACUGAGAGAGACUCUAAAUACAUCUACAUAAACAUGAGGAUUACCUGAAAAAUCCCCAAACUGUGCAAAACUCCAACCUGCAAGAAUCAAAACAGACAAAUAAAAAGAAAUUAAUCAUUCAGAAAAGAGCAAAAUACGCAAAAAAUGUGGCAGCGAUAAAAAAAAAUCCUCCUAAUCAGACAUCUGCACGUGUGUGAUUCUCUCCUGCCGCCAUAAAAACCAUCUAAACGUGUUUUGUGUGUACUUAAAGAAAGUGUAUGUCCACAUGUACGAUUGCGGGUGUGUCAUUAAUAGGCUGCACUUCAGAGGAAAAGGUAGAAAUCCUCCAGAUGUUCUGCAGCUGGGUGGAUCUGGUAGUGAAGAUCUAGACAGCAUCUGUCACAGGCGAACAUUUCUAAUCUGUCCUGAACAUUAGGCAGAGAGCACUAAAAACCCAUCACCAUGUGCUAACCACGGGCUCUGCAGAAAAAGAGAGAAAGAGAGAGAGAGAGAGAGAGAGAGAGAGAGUUCAAAAUUAAAGCGGAGAGUGAAAAUAAAACCAUCUCAUUGAAAUAAAGUCGUCUUCUUUAAGCGGAGAGAGGCUGCUUAACUUUUGGAGGGUAAAAAAAGAGGCUAACAGGCGAAGUUAUUAGAGCGGAGCGCCUGAGGCGGAAAAAGCAGCGCUUUGAACUGGAGGUCCAGCAGAGCUUAGCGAGGUCAAGAUCUGUCAAACAGUGAGCAGAGCCAACAUCACAACGGUCUGCGUGGACGCUCUCUGCACAAAGAACUUCAGCCGUGUUUUUAAAUAAAGGAGGAGAACUAGAGAACUACAGUCUGAACUCCUGUCUGCGUUUAGGUUCAGUGAUUCAGACUGGAAGUGCAGGAUGUUUUUUUUGGUGAUGUUAGAUAAAACUAAUUUCUGUUUUUCUCUCCUGUAAAUCUGCGAUUAUUCUGCUGCAUUUGGACGCUAACUACAUGGAGAGUUAACGUUCUAAGUUUGGGAUCUGUGGGAAUUGCUCCACGCUGACCUCCCCGGUCUCCAGAUAUUUCCCUUCCUGGGUUCAUGUGCCUAGUUACCAGUUGGUCAACCCCGUGCCCCGUGAACUGACCCUGUCCUCCCUCCGAGGUUUGAAAGAAAAAGAAACCCAAUCCUCCGGGGAGCGCUGCGACUAACAAGAAAACUGCUGGCCCGAAUCUCUCAGAAGUGCCGUGUUUUCCCACUGGACCACUUUCAGCUUAAUAAACAUCUUAACUAGCCAGAGGUCCCACAGGGGCUGCUGGGAAAUCCUCUGGGCAGCCAGAGCUCAGGAGCUGGCCCUUUAUUGCAUCCAGGUGGCUGUUAAAAAAUGUUGGCCGGCCCUAAAUGUCCAAUAAAAUGCAAGUGGCACCUUCAGGGGUGGACAGGGUCAGUGCACCUGUCUGUGGACGAAAGCUGCUCUCGCUCCCUCUUGUCCACUUUGUUUAGAGUCACUUCUUAGCCGUGCCAGCGCCGUGCCCGUCAAAGCGUUCGAGAGCGGGGGUCACUUAGACGGGUCAGAUGAUCUGCAGGUCAGAAGGGGCUCCAGGGAGGGGACUGUGAAGCGGCAAAGGGUUAAAAAAAACACAAACAAGACAAACAAAACAACAAGGAAAAAAAACAAAACAACCACAGACACAAAGUACGACCACAAAAACGACAACAGAAGAGAAGAGAAUUCAAAUCACUGCAAAACAAAAAGAAAUAAUAACCGCAAACGAUGACACGGAUCAACGACAAAGUCUUUAAAAAUGUCCACAAAGACACUUAAAAGGCUUUUAAAUCAUGAAACAAGCAACAACAGACACCAAAGGACCAAAAAAAACCAAGAAAAUACAAUUAAAAUCACUAAAAAAGACACAAAAAACAAUCAAAAAAUCACAAAGUGUCAAACAGAAAGCAUCCGAGACAGAAAACAACAACAAAGAAAACUGACAGAGGUGUAAAGAAACUGAAAAAUACAACAAAGGAAGUUCAAAAAUAACUAUAAAAAGACAAUAAAUGAAAAAAUAACUACAAAGAAAAGCAGAGCAACAAAAAAGGAAAACAAGAAGACGAAAAAAAGUUCAAGAAAAUAAAUGACAGUAAAGAAACUUCAACAAAAGUGAAAAUAUCUACAAAGACUGAAACAAAAAGGCCCAAAAUGACGAUAAAGUCAAACAUGCAUAGAAAGAAAAGUAAAACACAUCAAAUAAAUUUAAAAGUUACAACAAAGAAAAAGAAAGGUUCCAAAAAAAUAACCAAAAAGAGACAAAAAGACUUUUAAAAACCACUAAAAUGAGCAAAAUAACAAUAUAAACAUAAACACUUGGAUAAUAGAUUCAGAAAAAACAAAGAAGACAAACAAAACAACCACUAAAAGACAACAGAAGGGAAGAAAAUUAAAAUCACUGCAAAACAACAAGAAAUAAUAUCCACAAACGACGACACAGAUCAACAACAAAGUCUUUAAAAAUGUCCACAAAGAGACUUAAAAGGCUUUUAACUAAUGAAACAAGCAACAACAGACACCAAAGAACCAAAAAAAAACAAGAAAAUAAAUUUCACAAAAAAUCACAAAGUGACAAACAGCAAACAUCCGAGACAGAAAACAACAACAAAGAAACUUGAUAGAGGUGUAAAGAUACUGAAAAAUACAACAAAGAAAGUUAAAAAAUAUCUAUAAACCAGGCAAUAAAUGUAAAAAUAACCACAAAAAGAGCAGAGCAACAGUAAAAAUGACAGUAAAGACACUUCAAUAAUGUGAAAAUAUCUACAAAGACUGAAACAAAAAGGCCCAAAAUGACAAUUAAGUCAAACAUGCAUACAAAGAAAAACAAAAUAUGACAAAUAAAACAAAGUUACGUCAAAAAUAAACACGUAAAAAAUAAGUUCAGAAAAAAACAAGAACUAGAACAAACAGAAGCUAAAAAAACAAAAACACAAAACGAAUCAGAGCCACCAGAAGGAUCUGCCCGCUGAUUUUAAAGGUUAGUCCGUAAAGUUUGUGGUCAGGAAUUUAAACUUUAAUCUAAACUCUAAUGUGUCAGACAGGUGAGCUCUGAUUAUAGAAGUUGAAUUUAUGCUGCUGAAUUCAUCCACGAGUCAUUGCUGAUUUAACGGAGAUGCUGAUUGAAGUUCACGUAUGCGAUCACCUCCUGUUUGUUUACGACUUCUUCACACGGAUGUGAACGGCGGCUGCAGCCUCCCUUCAUCAGUCCGGCCUGGUCGCUGUCCACGGGGAGAGCUAAUUGUCCCGCAGGUUUGUGGACAGACCUGGACGGUGUAUCGAGGCUUUGAUCUGACUUGAAAGGAGUUAAUUGAUCUCUGUGUUACAAGCAGAGUGUGUGUGUGUGUGUGUUUGUGUGUGUGUGUGAGGGGGGAGGAAAACGAGGGAGAGAUGCUUGCUGGUCAUUCUACAACAUGUGCAGAAAUAUCUGAGAGAGAAAACGAGAGAGAGGGAGGGAGGGAGGGGAUGAAGAGAGAGAUCAGCUCACACCCAGCUCCAUCCCUGCUCAAUUACAGUAAUUUGACUCACAUGGGCCGGCCGCCGUGGCUGAGGGAGAGGAGGGGAGGAGAGCCGCCGUGUGGGGGAGGAGAGGGGAGAGGGGAUCCCUGCUCUGGGAGAUCACUCAUCUUACCUCAGGCCGAGGUACGCACAGACAGGUUUGAUGUGCGGCUCCCCUCGGAGGGCAGCCUGGGGGCUUGUUAAGGUGGCUGUAAGGAGAAGACCACACGUCCGACCUCAGACGGUUAAUCUCAGCGGGCUCUUCAAC